UUAAACAUAUUUUUUCCAUUUAAAACUCCUAAAAAAAAAUAUUUCCUAUUUUUGCUGACUUAUGCCAAUAUUUGUCAUUUUGUCAAUCAAUUUACAACUCCUAAAAAUAAAAAUAUUUCCUAUUUUUGCUGACUUUUGCCAAAAAUCGCCAGUAUUAAAACUCCUAAAGCAAAAUAUUUCCUAUUUUUGCUGACUUUCGCUAAUACUUGCCAAUAUUUUAUUUUAAGACUUCCUAUUGCAGUACUUAUUCCUAUCUAUCCUUUUUUCAACUUAUUCCUACUGCCUAAACAUUUCAAACUAUCUCAAACCUGAGGAGUGAAUUGUGGCUAAAUAGCUUGAGGAAAAUGUUUGACGAGGAACCCACUGAACCUGUGCACGGUAGCUGUAUGAGACAGAAAAUCCCACAACGGAAGGAAUAACGGUAAAAAAGAUU